rnacentral:tRNA from 2 species
CGGGGCGUGGCUCAGCCUGGUAGAGCGCAAGGUUUGGGACCUUGAUGUCGCGGGUUCAAAUCCCGCCGCCCCGACCA